rnacentral:lncRNA from 1 species
CUGCCAGUCCUGAAGCACCCGAACAGCUAAUGUGCCUCUGUCCCUGUAUAUUGUUCAAAACAGACAACUUCCUCACAGCUGCCAUGUCAAACAUGUUGGCAAGGAGACAUGGCCCAUUUUUAUUUAAAUUACUCCAUUUAUUUUGCACUGUGCAGUUGUCAGAGAAAUGCCUUUCUCUCUAUAUCCGUUGGAUAAGAGGGAAAGCAUUGUUUUGUCACAUGUACACUGGAAUGCAUUUAUUUUUCUCAAUUGUUUUUUUUAAAAAAAUAAUAAUCUUUGUUUGGAAGGGAUUUCUGGUUCUUUGAAUGGACUCAUACGGCUGAGGGAAAUUGCUGUAUGGGGUUCUAUUCAUGCAGCAUAAUGAUCCCACUAAAAGAUCAUAAUUCCUGGUAACAGUAACAGCACCAUUCAGGAUGGCUCAGCAGCUGCACGCCUGCACUGUGUGGUCUUUAGAAUGCGCGGCUUCCAUUUGGCAGCUCCAUUCCACACAGUACAUGAGAUCUGCCAUCCGCAAACCCACAAAGUUAAUCCUACAAACUCCUCUUAAGUGCCGCCUGAUGUUUGAAUUGUCAGAGUUACAUCACUUCCGCGCCAAUUUCACUCCUAACAAGCGUUCAGGUAACUUCAGUGCAAAUUCUCCUGGGGUCUUAUUUCACACGGGGCUGGUGGCUCUUAUCUGCCUGCCCAGGAGUCGGACUGAGGCAGCCGCCUCCGGAGGCAGAAUCCACGGGCAGACAAAGAAUUAAUACAAAAUAGGAAAGGGUAAUAUCUAGAAUGUACAAGCUUCUUUUAGAAUGGGAGGUGAAAGAAGUAGUGAUUAAGUGGGCGAAAGAUUUUGGUAAAAAUAUCCAACUAUCGGCAUGGGAAAGAUUAUGGAAUAAAGAAUGGAAAUUUACGGCCUGUUAUACACUAAAGGAAAUCUUUUGAAGAUGUUCUACAGGUGGUAUAUAACUCUCAGCAAACUAUCCAAAAUGUGUAAAAUGAGAUCUAAUACUUGCUGGAAGUGUAAACAGGCAGAAGGGACACUGUUUCUUGUGUGGUGGGGUUUUAUAUGAGGAAUUGAAAAAAAUAAAUGUUUAUGUAAACUUUCAUAAAGAAACCAGAAGCUUUCCUCUUGGGCAUUUUAGACCCAGAUAUUCCAAAUGGAAAAAAGAGAGAAUAUUCUUCUAUGUCACAACAGCAGCAAGAAUAUUAAUUGCCAGAAAUUGGAAAGGAGAGUUAGUGCCAACAAAAGACGAAUGGCAGGAUAAAUUAUUUGAAUAUCCUGACCUGGCAAAAAUGAUGGAGAUAAUUAGGAGACAGCCAAACCAAAAGUUCAAAAAGGUGAGGGAAAUUGAUAAAGAAUAUUUUUUUAAAAACCAGUGCCCUCAAGUUAAAACCUGGACAUGCUUUGAUUAAUUUUCGCAAACUACAAUUUGGAUUAUAAGUAUAGUAUUCAGAUAACAGAAGAAAUGGCGAAAUGGUUAAAGAAGCAGUUUAACAAAUAGAUAAGACAGACCCACUUUGAGGAAGACGGAAGUCUAUGGGGAAGAUAAGGAACUGGGAAUUAAGAACAUGGUGGCAUAAGUUCUUUUGUAAGAACUUAUGGAGUUAUGGACGUAUGCAAUUUUUUUGGUUUUGUUGUUAUUAUUUUGGUUAAUUUCUUGUGUAUGUUUGUUUGUUAAGUAAGAAAACUAAUAAAAAACAUUUUUUAUUUUUUUUAAGGAUCCACGGGUGCCAACCCCAUGGGGAGAAGGGGCUUCGCUGGCAGUUGCCAGAUUUUGUUGAGAUUGAGGCAAGGAAGAAGGGCUACCCCUAUGCUAUCCAUAUAAUCAGUUAUCAGUAAUCAAUAUAUUCAUAUAUGCUCACACAUAAUCAGGGCUUACAGUAUUUUAAAAAUCCAUUUUGAAUCAAAGGGAAGCUGUGCCUUAGCUAACUGCAAACUGCUUGAAACAGCAAAGUUAGGAGCCGACCUUUCCCCUACAAACAUCCGUGUACCCUGGACAAGGGGAAGAUGUGAAUCAGAGAUACUGGUACAAAUUCCCUCAGAUACAGGCUAAAUUAAUCCACAGAACAGGAAGAGCAAAACCACAAAAUCUCCAAACUCCCUGUCCUGUCAUAACUAGGGGAGAGGUUAGACAGAGCGUCACUGCAAGCAAUGGAAAGCAGAACUGGAACUCCGUGCUUGACCAGUGCUUGACCAGGAGCUGGUAGCGUGGCAAGGAGCUUGCUAAUUGGCUAAUUUUCGCUGACAAUAUCGUGAGUCCCUCAUGGUUGUCUCAUGAUCUAUGAUUUGCUGUGAUCUGCUCAGGUAUAAAGACCUCUGGAUUUCUGUCAGUCGGGGUCCCAGUUCCUUUUGGAAGAGAUUCCAAACUGGGUCCUUAUUGCCUGGCAAUAAACCUUACCUUCUUAUUCUCCAUUGCUGAGUCUGCCUGAUCCUUAUUAAACACCAAGCGAGUACCUGCUUACGUUCACGUGCUUCAAGAUCUCACAGGGAACUUGGAAGCCGUAGCAGUGCGGGGGGGGGCUGCCAGAUGCUUCAAACUGUGGAACUGGCUCUAUUACAGAUGUCACAUAAUCCCAUUUCUCCAUUUGUGAAACUUGGCUUUUUAGUGAAAGAGCACCUGUACUUUGGAGCUCCUUGCCUAUUGAGGUCAGGCAGGGAUCUUCACUCUUUCCUGUGCCUGAUGAAAACAUGCUUGUUUGGACCACCCAGAUUCUUUGAAAGUUGGUGCAAGUUUUAAUCUGUUCUCAGUCUGUUGUCAUUUUAUCGUUUUGAAAGUUUAAAAUAUAAUCUGCACCCAAUUUUUUUGGAAGCAAAUCAGGGUGAUUGCUCAAUAUAGGCAUCCUCUGGAAGAGACCUAUUGUUCUUAUUUUAAACUGCUAUCUGCCUUGAGCACUUUGCUGAAAAAAGGAACUCUAAGCACAUAGAAAAUAAAGUAGAAAAUUUGAUG